UCCGGUAAGACCCUCCGAUGCUCAAGUCAGUACUCUGCUUCAAUAGAAAUAGAGUGCUCGAGUGAGAAUUUUAGCAGAAUUUUGAGAUAGAGUUUUUGAGCUUAGAGAAGAACAUAUCUGGGGGUCCCUUUUUAUAGAUGGAGUGCGUGACUAAUUGAUAGUGACAUCUGUAACCACCUGGUAGUGGGCUAUUCAGAGCCACCCAGAGUUUGUUACAGAGAGUAGUGGCAUCAGAGGUCGUUCAGAACGACGUGGAGUUUGUUACGGAGAGUAGAGUGG
rnacentral:lncRNA from 1 species